rnacentral:rRNA from 1 species
CCUACGGGUGGCUGCAGUGGGGAAUAUUGGACAAUGGGGGGAACCCUGAUCCAGCCAUGCCGCGUGUGUGAAGAAGGCCCUCGGGUGGUAAAGCACUUUCAGUGAGGAAGAACGCCUGGUGGUUAAUACCCAUCAGGAAAGACAUCACUCACAGAAGAAGCACCGGCUAACUCCGUGCCAGCAGCCGCGGUAAUACGGAGGGUGCGAGCGUUAAUCGGAAUUACUGGGCGUAAAGCGCGCGUAGGUGGCUUGAUAAGCCGGUUGUGAAAGCCCCGGGCUCAACCUGGGAACGGCAUCCGGAACUGUCAAGCUAGAGUGCAGGAGAGGAAGGUAGAAUUCCCGGUGUAGCGGUGAAAUGCGUAGAGAUCGGGAGGAAUACCAGUGGCGAAGGCGGCCUUCUGGACUGACACUGACACUGAGGUGCGAAAGCGUGGGUAGCAAACAGGAUUAGAUACCCUAGUAGUC